rnacentral:rRNA from 1 species
AAAGUCAAAUAGCACGUGAAAUUGUUGAAAGGGAAACGAUUAAAGUCAGUCGUACCGGCGGGUAAUCAGCCAUUUGGGUGCGAUUAUGUCGGGUGAUGAAGAGCUUAACCGCCUUCGUGCUUGCAUAUUUGUGCCUUAUUGGUGUAUUUAUUCGCAUGGUAGGUUAACAUCAAUUUCGGUUGUCAUAAAAUGACGGGAGGAAUGUAGCUUUGAUCUCGUAUUGAAGUGUUAUAGCCUCUGGUAGAUGUGAUGGUUGGGAUUGAGGAUUGCAACGAACCCUUUGGGCUACCUGUCUGGCCUCUAGUGGUUGCUUUGGUGCUGAAAGCGUGCUUAUGGUUAUCAAAGUUGGCUGCUAAAAGGUUAGAACGGGUUAAUUUCGUUAAGGAUGUUGACGUAAUGACUUUAAACGACC